rnacentral:rRNA from 1 species
GAUGAACGCUGGCGGCGUGCCUAAUACAUGCAAGUCGAGCGAACAGAUGAGGAGCUUGCUCCUCUGACGUUAGCGGCGGACGGGUGAGUAACACGUGGAUAACCUACCUAUAAGACUGGGAUAACUUCGGGAAACCGGAGCUAAUACCGGAUAAUAUAUUGAACCGCAUGGUUCAAUAGUGAAAGACGGUUUUGCUGUCACUUAUAGAUGGAUCCGCGCCGCAUUAGCUAGUUGGUAAGGUAACGGCUUACCAAGGCGACGAUGCGUAGCCGACCUGAGAGGGGGAAAGGAGACAAGGGAAAUGAGAAAGGGUGAAGAAAAUGACGGAAGGAAGAAGGAGGGAAGGGGGAGAAAGGGGGGAAAGACGGAAGGAGCAACGAAGAGGGAGUGAGGAAGGUAUGCGGAUAGUAAAACUCUGCUAGGAGGGAAAAACAAAUGUGUAAGGAAAUAUGCACGGCGGGACGGGACAUAAGAAGAAAGAAACGGCUAACUAAGUG